CCUGAUCCCUUCACACAUAUAUAAAGGUGAUUAGGGUUUUCUAAAGCUCUAGUUUCCCUCAUCUACCGUUUAAGCUUAGUCUCAGGUGAAAAAUAAUGUUGGCUCUUCUUCUGAGUCUUCAAUAUUUGAUAUUGCUUCUUUGGGUCAUCAACACAGUGCCCUUGAUUUGCUCCUCCUCUUUAUUCUUCAGCUCUUAGAAACUUCGUCUGAGUUCUCUGGUGGAUGGGAUGUUUUUUGCUUUUUGGUGCUAAAUCGAAGGGUCUAGACCCCUAGGUAUGGAUCGGAUGGAGAAUUUGGAAUGCUCGGACCCGUAACUGCUUGAACAUGAGGCUUACACACAGGUGUAAUAGUUGCAUAGAUAUCCAGUGACCCUUUCCCUUUACUAAGAGUCCAUUUUGAUGGUUGAAAGUGUAUAGGCUAGUCAGUUUUUUUAUUAUUUUAUGCCCUUUGGGUAUGUAAAUACUAACAGUGAUGACUACUUUUUGUAAAUAUUGUAGCCUUCAACACCUUGCUCCCCUUUUAUCCUCUUUUUGUUGUUAUUAUGAUGUAAGGACAUUGAAGUUUGUCAUUAUUUAGGACUUUCUUUCUUUGUUGUCCAACUGUUGGAAAGAUGUAAAAUUGAACUCCUCUUUAUCUAUGGCAAGAUUUGCAUAUUAAUCAGCCA